GUCUGCGGCCACAGCUCCCAGCAUCUCCACCAUGACCGAGACUGGUGCGCGUGAGCGCGUGUGUGCGCGCGUGUGCACGUGAGCGUGUGCGAGCGUGAUGGGGAUUAUCGUCAGUGUGCAGCGGAGGACGGAUCCACAGCACAGCCCCCACCUUCAUCCCUCCAUCACCUCUGCAGGAGCCGCUGAAACCUGUGAGACUCUUCCUGGUUCGAUUCCUUUCGCGUUUUCAUCAUGGGUGCUGCAUUGUGUGUCUGUGUGCGUGCGCACGUAUAUGUGUCGCGUAUGUGUAUGUAGGCCAUUAGGACUAUUAUUAACAUAGGUGUGUAUGUGCAUGUGCAGCCUGUGUAGUGUGCAAACAAGCUUGUGUGUGAUGUGUUUCACGUGUAUGUCCACAUACGUGAUGUGGCUGCGUGAGCUGCCAUGUGUGUGAAUCAUGUGUGUGUGUGUGUGUUGUCGAUGGCAGAUAGCAUGACUGUAAAAUUGGCCGAUUAAAAACGGAGUCCAGCUCCUGUUAAAUGUGAAACAGGCGAAAGAACCGAUCACUGGGAAGUACACGCGCACACGGGAACACACACAACUUAAACGUGCACUGAGUGUGUGUCUGUGUGUGCUUGGAGGGGCUUCAUACACAACAUCCACACGUCGGCACCUCUUCGUGUUGAAUGUUUGCAUCCAGUCAACGUUCCCUCUCGGUUUUGGUCUCCACCGCCUCCUGAGACAAACGUGUGUGCCGCUGAGCUCUCCGCUGUGUCCGCCAGCUCGGGUCCGACCGCAUCGGCCUGCUGUUCGACCACCACUAGGUGGAGAAGGGUGGUGUUUAGUACGGCUUCUUGACGGACUCCGACGCAGCAGGAGCAGUGACGGUGAACCAGAACAGUCCGACAGAUAAACGCGGAGAUGAAACUCACUAUGAGGCUCCAUAAAUUCUGUGGAGGUUCAUCUCGUCCAACACAGAGCACAUGAUGAACUUGAUGCACUGAUUAUUAUGUUUGGGAAAACAGCAUUUAAAGCUCAUUGUGAAAAGAUGUAGAGAGUCAUGGUACUCAGAGUCAUUAAUAAAUGAAUGAGCUUAGUUGGAGAUAUAUAUUAAAAACUGUUUGGUGGAGGCGAGGCCUC
ensembl:lncRNA